rnacentral:rRNA from 1 species
GACGAACGCUGGCGGCGUGCUUAACACAUGCAAGUCGAACGGAAAGGCCCUGCUUUUGUGGGGUGCUCGAGUGGCGAACGGGUGAGUAACACGUGAGUAACCUGCCCUUGACUUUGGGAUAACUUCAGGAAACUGGGGCUAAUACCGGAUAGGAGCUCCUGCUGCAUGGUGGGGGUUGGAAAGUUUCGGCGGUUGGGGAUGGACUCGCGGCUUAUCAGCUUGUUGGUGGGGUAGUGGCUUACCAAGGCUUUGACGGGUAGCCGGCCUGAGAGGGUGACCGGCAACACUGGAACUGAGAUACGGCCCAGACUCCUACGGGAGGCAGCAGUGGGGAAUAUUGCACAAUGGGCAGAAGCCUGAUGCAGCAACGCCGCGUGCGGGAUGACGGCCUUCGGGUUGUAAACCGCUUUCGCCUGUGACGAAGCGUGAGUGGCGGUAAUGGGUAAAGAAGCACCGGCUAACUACGUG